UUGUUUCUAGAAAUGGGUACUUCUCGAGGAAAGGUUUCUCUCGAAAGAAUUGAGUGGGAGGUUGGUGGAACUUGAUGAGGUUAUUGAAACAUCACUUCAACCUGUGUGUAGCACGGCGCAGGAAGUUGUUCCUGUGGCGCCUACGCCAAUUGAAAUGGAAACUGAUGAUAGUGAUCAUUAAGUUUCGGAUCAAGUUACUACAAACC
rnacentral:lncRNA from 1 species